AGAAAGCGUGCUCAUUAACCUCUGGAAACUGCGAGCUGAAACUUGAGGAGCUUCGAGGAGUAGAAAUGCUUCAAGGGAGACACGAGGAGGAAGCCAGGCAGCAGGUCAUUUAUCCUCUCUUUCAAGAAUAGGACAUCUGACAUUGCUGAAAAGAGACUCCUGGCUUCCUUCACCAUAGGGUUCCUUCUCCAGAUGCAUCCGGAUCCGCCUGCUGGCUCAGCCAUGCUGAAAACUUCCC
rnacentral:lncRNA from 1 species